rnacentral:rRNA from 1 species
AGCGAACGCUGGCGGCAGGCCUAACACAUGCAAGUCGAACGAAGUCUUCGGACUUAGUGGCGGACGGGUGAGUAACACGUGGGAACGUACCUUUUGGUUCGGAACAACUCAGGGAAACUUGAGCUAAUACCGGAUGAGCCCUUAGGGGGAAAGAUUUAUCGCCGAAAGAGCGGCCCGCGUUAGAUUAGCUAGUUGGUGAGGUAAGGGCUCACCAAGGCUACGAUCUAUAGCUGGUCUGAGAGGAUGAUCAGCCACACUGGGACUGAGACACGGCCCAGACUCCUACGGGAGGCAGCAGUGGGGAAUCUUGCGCAAUGGGCGAAAGCCUGACGCAGCCAUGCCGCGUGAAUGAUGAAGGUCUUAGGAUCGUAAAAUUCUUUUACCAGGGACGAUAAUGACGGUACCUGGAGAAAAAGCCCCGGCUAACUUCGUGCCAGCCGCCGCAGUAAGAC